UACGAAGGGUGCAAACGUUGCUCGGAAUUACUGGGCGUAAAGCGUGCGUAGGUGGUUUUUAAGUCCGUUGUGAAAGCCCUGGGCUCAACCUGGGAAUGGCAGUGGAUACUGGAAAGCUAGAGUGCGGUAGAGGGUAGUGGAAUUCCCGGUGUAGCAGUGAAAUGCGUAGAGAUCGGGAGGAACACCAGUGGCGAAGGCGGCUACCUGGACCAGCACUGACACUGAGGCACGAAAGCGUGGGGAGCAAACAGGG
rnacentral:rRNA from 1 species